GCAUAUUAGCCUUUUAUUAUAUAGGACUAGAGGCCCGGUGCACAAAAAUUUGUGUCUCAUAGUGGACCCAUGCCAGAGGAAGUUGAAGCCUCAAACCAUUGCCCAGCCUCAUUACCCUUGGGCUGUGAGCACUGAAGGGGGCUGUACAGUA
rnacentral:snoRNA from 1 species